ACUCACUUUAAAAUAGUAAACAGAUACUAUCCAUGUAAUGACUUUAUCAGUAAGUUUAAAGAAGGGUUUUCACCAGUAUGCAGUUUCUGUAAAGAAGAAAAUGAAACAAUUGUACAUUUAUUUUUCAGUUGUAAUUAAAUUAUUUUGGUCCCAAGUUUCUUGGUUUCUUUUUGAGUUAUUUUAUAAGUUUGUUACAAUAACUGAUGCAAUGGUAUUGUUUAUGGAUUGUGAUACUGUUUGACAGAUGGGGAAGUCGUGGCCUGGUGGUUAGAGAAUCGGACUCCCAAUCGAAAGGUUGUGAGUUCGAGUCCCGGGCCGGCAGGAAUUGUGGGUGGGGGGAGUGCAUGUACAGUUCUCUCUCCACCUUCAAUACCACGACUUAGGUGCCCUUGAGCAAGGCAUUGAACCCCCAACUGCUCCCCGGGCGCCGCAGCAUAAAUGGCUGCCCACUGCUCCGGGUGUGUGCUCACAGUGUGUGUGUGUGUGUUCACUGCUCGGUGUGUGUGUGCACUUCGGAUGGGUUAAAUGCAGAGCACAAAUUCUGAGUAUGGGUCACCAUACUUGGCCGAAUGUCACUUCACUUUCACUUUCACUUU